rnacentral:rRNA from 1 species
GCCUAACACAUGCAAGUCGAGCGGCAGCACAAGUGAGUUUACUUAUGAGUGUGGCGAGCGGCGGACGGGUGAGUAAUGCCUAGGGAUCUGCCCAGUCGAGGGGGAUAACAGUUGGAAACGACUGCUAAUACCGCAUACGCCCUACGGGGGAAAGGAGGGGACCUUCGGGCCUUCCGCGAUUGGAUGAACCUAGGUGGGAUUAGCUAGUUGGUGAGGUAAUGGCUCACCAAGGCGACGAUCCCUAGCUGUUCUGAGAGGAUGAUCAGCCACACUGGGACUGAGACACGGCCCAGACUCCUACGGGAGGCAGCAGUGGGGAAUAUUGCACAAUGGGGGAAACCCUGAUGCAGCCAUGCCGCGUGUGUGAAGAAGGCCUUCGGGUUGUAAAGCACUUUCAGUAGGGAGGAAAGGGUGAGUCUUAAUACGGCUCAUCUGUGACGUUACCUACAGAAGAAGGACCGGCUAACUCCGUGCCAGCAGCCGCGGUAAUACGGAGGGUCCGAGCGUU